GACCGCGUAGCUCAGUUGGCAGAGCAUUGCCAUUGGGCUAGUAUUUCAAAGGUCGUAGGUUCGAUUCCCACCGUGGACA